AGUAACGCGUGAGUAACCUGCCUCAUACAGGGGAAUAACAGUUAGAAAUGACUGCUAAUGCCGCAUAAGCGCACAGGGCCGCAUGGCCCGGUGUGAAAAACUCCGGUGGUAUGAGAUGGACUCGCGUCUGAUUAGCUAGUUGGUGAGGUAACGGCCCACCAAGGCAACGAUCAGUAGCCGGCCUGAGAGGGUGAACGGCCACAUUGGGACUGAGACACGGCCCAA
rnacentral:rRNA from 1 species